CCGGCAGGAUGGCUUCCGCCGACAUUUCGAUAGCUGAUCACAAGAAAAUCAAUUCGUUAACGUUUAUGGUUCAGUCAAUCAAAGUGACGAAUGCUGAGCAUAAGUUGGAAUCCUCCUGGAGCCCACUCUAUCGAAUUCAAGCCUAAGCCUGGUGGAAUAACUUCCAGCUACGCGCGGACGGUUGGGUCAGCUCACGGACUCAACCUGAGAGAAUUUGCUAGCACUAGUAAGAGCUGUGCUUCGCUGAGUCUAUCACCGGAUCGGAAUCGCGAAACACUGAGAAGAUCCGGCGAGAAACUCAUUGGGCUGUGUCUAUGGACGUAUCUUCGGUGUCUACUAGAUAUUCCGGCGCCUUAGUACCAAAAAUCGACAUAAUUACUUCAGUGCGUCACGUAGGGUACCGGUGACCUACAUAUCAGUUAAAAGACCUCACAGGCUGGGGAUGGAGGGCGGGGAAAGUCGGAGUCGAACCGACUAAAACCUCCUGUCACUCAACAACCAACGCCCAAGACUCGCAUCAGACAGAACUCAUUAAAAGGCAAAGGGGGGAAAGUGAAGCGCUUAGUGCGGAGCACAUCUCUCCCAUCACCCUCCCCCUCGGGACGCCGGAACGGCGGUCGUCGGCGCCACGGCCACCAGCCCUCUCGGUCGGCAGGCUAUCCGAAGCCCGCCUUGAUAGCGCCGGUUAGAGUCAUUCGGAGCAUCGGUCUACCGAAAAAAAACAGCAGUUGAGUGGAAGAUCUUUCAUUUGCCAUUAACGUCAAAAACACCUCCAAAACUAAAGGUGCAUUUGCGAAAGUGUUCUAUUUAAAUACUACCUUAAAAUGUGAUUGCGGGAACUCCUUAAAAUGAUACAUAAAAUCAGCACCUAGGCAGAAAUAUACAGGUUCGUAUGUAUGUUAGUGUAGAACUGACUUUUUUCCCCUAAUUAAUCGUUAGAGACUUUUUGGCGGGAACGCGAGGAUUGAAGUUGUGUGAUUUGUUUUAUUUUGUCUAUUUAGUGUUUCUUCAGGUUUAAAUGCGUAAUAACGGUGGUUUAUUAACUGUUUAGUAUAACUGUGUAAGGUCACAAAUGGAGGAAAAUAAAACAAAGCUGCUGGACAUAACUUUUAAACGGUAGGCAGCGGCUUGGCUCUGCCCCUGGCAUUGCUGACGUCCAUGAGCGACGGUAACCACUCACCAUCAGGUGGGCCGUAUGCUCGUCUGCCUAUACGGCAAUAAAAAAGAAAAAAAACUUUUCGGGAUCCUUCAAAAAGGCCACUGAAAAAGUCUUAGCCAAUGACCACCCU